UACGGAGGGUGCAAGCGUUGUUCGGAAUUACUGGGCGUAAAGCGCGUCUAGGCGGGUAAACAAGUCAGUUGUGAAAGCCCUUGGCUCAACCAAGGAUGUGCAAUUGAUACUGUUUGUCUUGAGUGGUGGAGAGAGGAACGGAAUUCCGAGUGUAGCAGUGAAAUGCGUAGAUAUUCGGAGGAACACCAGAGGCGAAAGCGGUUCCUUGGCCACUAACUGACGCUGAAGCGCGAAAGCGUGGGUAGCAAAC
rnacentral:rRNA from 1 species